GAAAAAAAACUUGUGUUGGAUCUCAACACAAGUACUUGUGUGAAAAUUAUUCUACACAAGUUAUGUGUUGUUUUGCAUUGCAUUAACACAAACUUGUGUUCUUUUUAAUGCAUUAACACAAAUCUUGUGUUUUUUCCAUAUAAUUAACACAAGUAAUGUGUACCGUCAACAAAUAUUUUUUUUUUUAAAUUUGAACUCCAUACAAAGUCUUAAUUCGGGGGACCACAAGUAAGAGAAAGGUAUUUUUUACUCAGACAAUAUAGCCAGACAGACUUGAAUGCUAAUUGGUGUUAAGAUGUCUGUAGUUAAAAUAAAGUUGGGCCCAAUAAACUGGUAGAUCAAAGGCCUGUUGAGCGCUCAUGCCCGGUGUGAUUUUAACAAUUGACUCCAAAUGCGUUGACAAGAAAAUAAGUAAAACUGUUAUUGAAUGUGAUUGGUUGAUAAAAUCAACGUACUAUAGGCUACAUUUUGUCUGCGAUGUCAUCUCGGUGGAAGCGGACAUUAAAUGAAGUGAUUUCACACAAUUAAUUUAACAUUUAACAACGUGCUGAAAUGAUUUUGGAGCAGUGAUAUGUUUGACAAAUGUAAGCUAAUGGUCACAUAGAAUACAAGACCGCAGUCAGUGAUGAUAUGACUCAUUCCACCUUACAGUUACAGCAAUUACCGUAUUGAGAAUUUACCGUUCAAGGACUCCAUUUUGGCAUUGAAUUGGAAUUUGAAGAAAAACUGUUUCAAUAUUGGAUGUAUAUGCAAAUCACCCAGGAAAAGAUCAUGUAAGAAAAGAAAUUAUAAAAGUAAAAAAAUGGAAGAAAUGGCUGGAAAAAAUGAUGAUAGAGCAGCUUUUUCUUGUUAGCCACCUCGGAAGAUCAAGACAGCUGGAAAGGGCUAUUGAUAUUGUGGAAGUGUUUUCUUACAGAGGUUGCUUAUCAGACAAAGGCUAUUUAACUACAUCAGAAAGAUAAAAACAGUUGGAAAUGGCUAUUCAUAUUGUGGAAACUUUUCUCACAGAGCUUGAUAAUCAGGCAAAAUGCUGGAACACCCUUGAAAGAGUAUUUGGUGUAUGAUAACAACAAGAGAACCCAAGCAUCAAUUUAUUUUAUACUUCUGGGAAAGAAUGCAUUUGACCCAAUUUUUAAAUAUUUAUUUUUUGUUAUUAAUGUUAAAUUUUCUUCCAAAACACAAUUAGAUUUUAAUUCUCUUCAAAUAUGUAUGUAUAAUAUAGCAAGUAAACUGACAUAUAAAUCACUUAGAAUUUGGUCGGAAAUCAUAAAGUAUUUAAUAGGCAUUACUAGAAACCAAAUGUAGAUCAAAUACACCCAGAAUUACAAAAAACCUUGACCUACAUUAAGGUGACUUUCCCUUGCUUAUAAAAUG